rnacentral:rRNA from 1 species
CAAAGGUAGCAUAAUAAAUAGUCUUUUAAUUGGUGACUUGUAUGAAUGAUUGGAUGAAAUAUAAACUGUCUCUUUAUUAAUAAAAUAACUUAAUUUUUUAAUUAAAAAGUUAAAAUGAUUUUAAAAGACGAGAAGACCCCCUAGAGUUUUAUAGAUAAUAAUUAAUUAAAGUUUUAUAUAAAUUUAUGAAUUAAAAUUAUUUUUUUUAUUAUGUUGGGGUGAUAAAAAAAUUAAAUUAACUUUUUUUUAAAAAGUUAACAUAAAUAAAUGAAAGUAAUGAUCCAAAAUUUUUGAUUAAAAGAUUAAAUUACCUUGGGGAUAACAGCGUAAUUUUUUUUUUUAGUUCAAAUAAGAAAAAGAGUUUGCGACCUCGAUGUUGGAUUAAGAUAAAAUUU